GACGAACCGUACGAACGUUAUUCGGAAUCACUGGGCUUAAAGGGUGCGUAGGCGGCUUUGUAAGUUAGAGGUGAAAGCCCAGGGCUUAACCCUGGAAUUGCCUUUAAGACUGCAUCGCUAGAAUCGUGGAGAGGUGAGUGGAAUUCCGAGUGUAGAGGUGAAAUUCGUAGAUAUUCGGAAGAACACCAGUGGCGAAGGCGACUCACUGGACACGUAUUGACGCUGAGGUGCGAAAGCGUGGGGAGCAAACAGG
rnacentral:rRNA from 1 species